UACAGAGGGGGCAAGCGUUAUUCGGAAUUAUUGGGCGUAAAGGGCGCGUAGGCGGCUACAUAAGUCAGAUGUGAAAGCCCGGGGCUUAACCCCGGAAGUGCAUCUGAUACUGCGUAGCUUGAAUCUCGGAGAGGGUGGUGGAAUUCCCAGUGUAGAGGUGAAAUUCGUAGAUAUUGGGAGGAACACCGGUGGCGAAGGCGACCACCUGGACGAAGAUUGACGCUGAGGCGCGAAAGCGUGGGGAGCAAACAGG
rnacentral:rRNA from 1 species